AGUGAACGCUGGCGGUAGGCCUAACACAUGCGAGUCGAACGGCAGCACAGUAAGAGCUUGCUCUUACGGGUGGCGAGUGGCGGACGGGUGAGGAAUACAUCGGAAUCUACUUUUUCGUGGGGGAUAACGUAGGGAAACUUACGCUAAUACCGCAUACGACCUACGGGUGAAAGCAGGGGAUCUUCUGACCUUGCGCGAUUGAAUGAGCCGAUGUCGGAUUAGCUAGUUGGCGGGGUAAAGGCCCACCAAGGCGACGAUCCGUAGCUGGUCUGAGAGGAUGAUCAGCCACACUGGAACUGAGACACGGUCCAGACUCCUACGGGAGGCAGCAGUGGGGAAUAUUGGACAAUGGGCGCAAGCCUGAUCCAGCCAUACCGCGUGGGUGAAGAAGGCCUUCGGGUUGUAAAGCCCUUUUGUUGGGAAAGAAAAGCAGCAGGUUAAUACCCCGCUGUUCCGACGGUACCCAAAGAAUAAGCACCGGCUAACUUCGUG
rnacentral:rRNA from 1 species